rnacentral:rRNA from 1 species
AUUGAACGCUGGCGGCAGGCCUAACACAUGCAAGUCGAGCGGUAGCACAGGGAGCUUGCUCCUGGGUGACGAGCGGCGGACGGGUGAGUAAUGUCUGGGAAACUGCCUGAUGGAGGGGGAUAACUACUGGAAACGGUAGCUAAUACCGCAUAACGUCGCAAGACCAAAGAGGGGGACCUUCGGGCCUCUUGCCAUCAGAUGUGCCCAGAUGGGAUUAGCUAGUAGGUGGGGUAAUGGCUCACCUAGGCGACGAUCCCUAGCUGGUCUGAGAGGGUGGCCAGCCACACUGGAACUGAGACACGGUCCAGACUCCUACGGGAGGCAGCAGUGGGGAAUAUUGCACAAUGGGGGCAAGCCUGAUGCAGCCAUGCCGCGUGUAUGAAGAAGGCCGUCGGGUUGUAAAGUACUUUCAGCGGGGAGGAAGGUGUUGAGGUUAAUAACCUCAGCAAUUGACGUUACCCGCAGAAGAAGCACCGGCUAACUCCGUGCCAGCCGCCGCGGUAA